UAAGUAGGUCACUUUAUCGCGUCUUUAUUAAAAGAUGAGGAAAGUCCGGACACCAUAGAGCAACGUAACGGGUAACUCCCGUACACCGAAAGGUGAGGACUAGUGCAACAGAAAGCAAGUACAGUAAGGCUGUAGUGAAAUCAGGUAAACUCUACGUGGUGAAAUGCCAAAUAGACUGAUUAUAUUGCUCGUAUAUUAUCAGAGGGUAGGCAGUUUGAGAUAAUAGGUAACUAUUAUCCUAGAUAAAUGAUAAAGAUUUAUAUUUAAUUUAUAUAAAUACAGAAUCCGGCUUAUAGACCUACUUAAUUU
rnacentral:RNase_P_RNA from 1 species